rnacentral:rRNA from 1 species
UGCGUAGGCGGACAUGUAAGUGUCCUGUGAAAUACCACGGCUCAACCGUGGGAUUGCGGGGCAAACUGCACGUCUUGAGGCAGGUAGAGGUCGUCGGAACGUUCGGUGGAGCGGUGAAAUGCGUAGAUAUCGAACGGAACGCCGAAGGAGAAGUCAGACGACUGGGCCUGUCCUGACGCUCAGGCACGAAAGCGUGGGGAGCAAACA